CCUACGGGUGGCAGCAGUGAGGAAUAUUGGUCAAUGGACGAGAGUCUGAACCAGCCAAGUAGCGUGAAGGAUGACUGCCCUAUGGGUUGUAAACUUCUUUUAUAUGGGAAUAAAAUGUUCCACGUGUGGGAUUUUGUAUGUACCAUAUGAAUAAGGAUCGGCUAACUCCGUGCCAGCAGCCGCGGUAAUACGGAGGAUCCGAGCGUUAUCCGGAUUUAUUGGGUUUAAAGGGAGCGUAGGUGGAUUGUUAAGUCAGUUGUGAAAGUUUGCGGCUCAACCGUAAAAUUGCAGUUGAAACUGGCAGUCUUGAGUACAGUAGAGGUGGGCGGAAUUCGUGGUGUAGCGGUGAAAUGCUUAGAUAUCACGCAGAACUCCGAUUGCGAAGGCAGUUCACUGGACUGCAACUGACACUGAGGCUCGAAAGUGUGGGUAUCAAACAGGAUUAGAUACCCUUGUAGUC
rnacentral:rRNA from 1 species